rnacentral:rRNA from 1 species
ACGGGGGGUGCUAGCGUUGUUCGGAAUCAUUGGGCGUAAAGAGCGUGUAGGCGGCUGGAUAAGUCAGAUGUGAAAGCCCUGGGCUUAACCCAGGAAGGGCAUUUGAAACUGUUCAGCUUGAGUAAGGGAGAGGAAAGUGGAAUUCCUGGUGUAGGAGUGAAAUUCGGUGAUCUCAGGAGGAGCACCGGUGGCGAAGGCGACUCACCGGGCCGGUUCCGACGGUGAGGCACGAAAGCGUGGGUAGCAAACAG